UAAGACAGAGGGUGCAAACGUUGUUCGGAAUUACUGGGCGUAAAGCGCAUGUAGGCGGCCAAGCAAGUCGGGUGUGAAAGCCCAGGGCUCAACCCUGGAAGUGCACUCGAAACUGCUCGGCUGGAGUCUCGGAGAGGAUCGCGGAAUUCUGGGUGUAGAGGUGAAAUUCGUAGAUAUCCAGAGGAACACCAGUGGCGAAGGCGGCGAUCUGGACGAGUACUGACGCUGAGAUGCGAAAGCGUGGGGAGCAAACAGGAUUAGAUACCCUGGUAGUCCACGCCUUAAACGAUGAGUGCUAGAUGUCGCGGGCAUUGACCCCUGCGGUGUCGUAGCUAACGCAUUAAGCACUCCGCCUGGGGAGUACGGCCGCAAGGCUA
rnacentral:rRNA from 1 species